rnacentral:misc_RNA from 1 species
UUUCUCGUUCUUAAUUAGAUGUGAAUUUGGAAAAAAAUGGUGAAGGAUUCAAAAUUAAUCAUUCGGUCAAAAAGAGAUUUAUCACUCAAAAAUCAGUUAAUAACUCUACACAUACCCUAAUCUUCUUCUGAUACUGAAAGUGAAGAUGGGUCAGCAUCCGAAUUUGAAGUGGAAUCGCGUUAUUCCUUGUCUUCGCCUUUUGCAUUAGACUUCGCAGUCGAUUCGAGUGUUCCUGCAAAAGUUGUUGCCCAUCGAAACCAAUUGCAAAGAGGUCGCAAGAGACCUAGAAAGAGA